rnacentral:misc_RNA from 1 species
GAAAAAAAAAAAAAAAAGGAAAAUUAGAAUCAGGAGCCAACCCAUGAGCUAUAGUAAAAUGAGAGGACAAAGAAAUAUGUUGUAGCUUCUGGGCAUCUAAACCGAAAGGUAAUUCAUCCUAUACCUUUUAAUUUUCUUGGGUAGGUUUCAUUUGAUUUCUUAGACUUUAUGUCCAAGCAAGGAGAAUUGUCACUGUGACUCGUAGAUUUUGUUAAUUUCUCAAGCUUUUAUACUUUUAUGCUUAGUUUCUUGAGUAAUUUUUCUACUUGCAUACUGGUUUUUCGCUGGGUUUUUGAAAUUUGAUGACUAGCUUUAAUAUAGCACAAAGUAAUUUGCUAGUUUCUGUCAUUUUCUUUAAGUAGAUGAUAUUAAAUCAUUGGGGUAGUAUUUAUUUGUUUUAUAGGGGAAAAGUAGUUUAUCAAAGCUCCCACAAGAAAGCAAGUAAGCCCAACUGAGCAUGGCUAUUUUCUCGUUGCAUUUGAAUGUGAAAAUUGAAGAAUUAAUCAACACUUUUACUAUUGGUUGGUGGUAUAUCUAUGAUUAUGGAUGGAAAAGAGAAAGGAGAAGCAAAACAUCCCCCCUUUAAUAUGUAAACUCUAGCAUCUUUCUUAGUUUACUUUUGGUCUCCGUUUGGAUGCAAACACAUCUAUAUGUAGAUUAUAUAGAAAUAUACUUUCAGGUUUCCUUUUUUAAUAAAUCAUUUGCAAGAAAGAAUUCAAAUGAAUUCUCACACAAUCAUGCUUGAUUUCUAUUUCUU